AGGAGCAACAGCCCCAGUGGCAGCGGCAGGUCUGGAGCCCUGGAGUCAGCUCCUGCAAUAACUACAAAGCUCUCGGUCUGCAGGGCCUGGACGCUCCGGGGCGGG
rfam:Canis lupus familiaris chromosome 16, whole genome shotgun sequence.